rnacentral:misc_RNA from 1 species
AAGUCGUAACAAGGUUUCCGUAGGUGAACCUGCGGAAGGAUCAUUAACACGUUUCGUUCCGAACGUUUUUGACCCAUUCUUAUUUUCCGUGCACCUCUCGCGUCCGGCCUCCCAGCCGCUCCACGGGUUUACUCGUGUGUGGCCUGUUGGGCGUCAUUUGGGUUCAUAAGAAUUUGUGACAAAGAGAUGAUGUGGUUCUCCUGUUGUCUAUUUUCACUCUUUCUUCCAUUUGGCGUUGCCACCUCACCCAAACCCUUUAAUCUAAUUGAUCUGAACUUUUAGUUGAUGCCUUUAUUGGUUCAACGACUUACAACAAAUAACAACUCUUAACAACGGAUAUCUUGGUUCUC